UUCAUUCUCUUUUUACCAGCCGAAUAUGAAGGCUUGAGAAGCCAUGGAAGAAGCUUCCAACUUUCAGCUAAUGCAUGAUCAAGAUCGGGUGGAAAAUCGAGAAAAAUGAAAAAAUUACCAAAAUGCCCCUGAACUUUGGUAUCUCUAAAAUUUAGCCAGGUAAGUUCGUAUGCAAUAAGCAUUGUUAAAUUGAUGUUUCUAAUGCUUUAAUAUUGUAUAAAUUGUAUAUACGUGAAUAUUUUAAUGUCUGACGACAUAUCGACAAAAUGUGGCACUUAGUGUGCGGGGCAAUCAAAUAUGGUACUCAGUGUACGAAAUAUUGAGAAUGGCACUUAGUGUGCGAGAUAUUGAGAAUGACACUUAGUGUGCAAAAUAUCGAAUGAUUCAAAGGGAAAUUAUAAAUUGUGAUUGAAUGAUUAA